rnacentral:rRNA from 1 species
UACAGAGGGUGCGAGCGUUAAUCGGAAUUACUGGGCGUAAAGCGCACGUAGGCGGCGCAUUAAGUUGGAUGUGAAAUCCCCGGGCUUAACUUGGGAAUUGCAUUCAAGACUGGUGUGCUGGAGUCUGGGAGAGAGAAGUGGAAUUCCCGGUGUAGCGGUGAAAUGCGUAGAUAUCGGGAGGAACAUCAGUGGCGAAGGCGGCUUCUUGGCCCAAUACUGACGCUGAGGUGCGAAAGCGUGGGGAUCAAACAGG